UUAAGCGACUAAGCGUACACGGUGGAUGCCCUGGCAGUCAGAGGCGAUGAAGGACGUGCUAAUCUGCGAUAAGCGUCGGUAAGGUGAUAUGAACCGUUAUAACCGGCGAUUUCCGAAUGGGGAAACCCAGUGUGUUUCGACACACUAUCAUUAACUGAAUCCAUAGGUUAAUGAGGCGAACCGGGGGAACUGAAACAUCUAAGUACCCCGAGGAAAAGAAAUCAACCGAGAUUCCCCCAGUAGCGGCGAGCGAACGGGGAGGAGCCCAGAGCCUGAAUCAGUGUGUGUGUUAGUGGAAGCGUCUGGAAAGGCGCGCGAUACAGGGUGACAGCCCCGUACACAAAAAUNCACAUAUUGUGAGCUCGAUGAGUAGGGCGGGACACGUGGUAUCCUGUCUGAAUAUGGGGGGACCAUCCUCCAAGGCUAAAUACUCCUGACUGACCGAUAGUGAACCAGUACCGUGAGGGAAAGGCGAAAAGAACCCCGGCGAGGGGAGUGAAAAAGAACCUGAAACCGUGUACGUACAAGCAGUGGGAGCACGCUUAGGCGUGUGACUGCGUACCUUUUGUAUAAUGGGUCAGCGACUUAUAUUCUGUAGCAAGGUUAACCGAAUAGGGGAGCCGAAGGGAAACCGAGUCUUAACUGGGCGUUAAGUUGCAGGGUAUAGACCCGAAACCCGGUGAUCUAGCCAUGGGCAGGUUGAAGGUUGGGUAACACUAACUGGAGGACCGAACCGACUAAUGUUGAAAAAUUAGCGGAUGACUUGUGGCUGGGGGUGAAAGGCCAAUCAAACCGGGAGAUAGCUGGUUCUCCCCGAAAGCUAUUUAGGUAGCGCCUCGUGAAUUCAUCUCCGGGGGUAGAGCACUGUUUCGGCAAGGGGGUCAUCCCGACUUACCAACCCGAUGCAAACUGCGAAUACCGGAGAAUGUUAUCACGGGAGACACACGGCGGGUGCUAACGUCCGUCGUGAAGAGGGAAACAACCCAGACCGCCAGCUAAGGUCCCAAAGUCAUGGUUAAGUGGGAAACGAUGUGGGAAGGCCCAGACAGCCAGGAUGUUGGCUUAGAAGCAGCCAUCAUUUAAAGAAAGCGUAAUAGCUCACUGGUCGAGUCGGCCUGCGCGGAAGAUGUAACGGGGCUAAACCAUGCACCGAAGCUGCGGCAGCGACGCUUAUGCGUUGUUGGGUAGGGGAGCGUUCUGUAAGCCUGCGAAGGUGUGCUGUGAGGCAUGCUGGAGGUAUCAGAAGUGCGAAUGCUGACAUAAGUAACGAUAAAGCGGGUGAAAAGCCCGCUCGCCGGAAGACCAAGGGUUCCUGUCCAACGUUAAUCGGGGCAGGGUGAGUCGACCCCUAAGGCGAGGCCGAAAGGCGUAGUCGAUGGGAAACAGGUUAAUAUUCCUGUACUUGGUGUUACUGCGAAGGGGGGACGGAGAAGGCUAUGUUGGCCGGGCGACGGUUGUCCCGGUUUAAGCGUGUAGGCUGGUUUUCCAGGCAAAUCCGGAAAAUCAAGGCUGAGGCGUGAUGACGAGGCACUACGGUGCUGAAGCAACAAAUGCCCUGCUUCCAGGAAAAGCCUCUAAGCAUCAGGUAACAUCAAAUCGUACCCCAAACCGACACAGGUGGUCAGGUAGAGAAUACCAAGGCGCUUGAGAGAACUCGGGUGAAGGAACUAGGCAAAAUGGUGCCGUAACUUCGGGAGAAGGCACGCUGAUAUGUAGGUGAAGUCCCUUGCGGAUGGAGCUGAAAUCAGUCGAAGAUACCAGCUGGCUGCAACUGUUUAUUAAAAACACAGCACUGUGCAAACACGAAAGUGGACGUAUACGGUGUGACGCCUGCCCGGUGCCGGAAGGUUAAUUGAUGGGGUCAGCGCAAGCGAAGCUCUUGAUCGAAGCCCCGGUAAACGGCGGCCGUAACUAUAACGGUCCUAAGGUAGCGAAAUUCCUUGUCGGGUAAGUUCCGACCUGCACGAAUGGCGUAAUGAUGGCCAGGCUGUCUCCACCCGAGACUCAGUGAAAUUGAACUCGCUGUGAAGAUGCAGUGUACCCGCGGCAAGACGGAAAGACCCCGUGAACCUUUACUAUAGCUUGACACUGAACAUUGAGCCUUGAUGUGUAGGAUAGGUGGGAGGCUUUGAAGUGUGGACGCCAGUCUGCAUGGAGCCGGCCUUGAAAUACCACCCUUUAAUGUUUGAUGUUCUAACGUGGACCCGUGAUCCGGGUUGCGGACAGUGUCUGGUGGGUAGUUUGACUGGGGCGGUCUCCUCCUAAAGAGUAACGGAGGAGCACGAAGGUUGGCUAAUCCUGGUCGGACAUCAGGAGGUUAGUGCAAUGGCAUAAGCCAGCUUGACUGCGAGCGUGACGGCGCGAGCAGGUGCGAAAGCAGGUCAUAGUGAUCCGGUGGUUCUGAAUGGAAGGGCCAUCGCUCAACGGAUAAAAGGUACUCCGGGGAUAACAGGCUGAUACCGCCCAAGAGUUCAUAUCGACGGCGGUGUUUGGCACCUCGAUGUCGGCUCAUCACAUCCUGGGGCUGAAGUAGGUCCCAAGGGUAUGGCUGUUCGCCAUUUAAAGUGGUACGCGAGCUGGGUUUAGAACGUCGUGAGACAGUUCGGUCCCUAUCUGCCGUGGGCGCUGGAGAACUGAGGGGGGCUGCUCCUAGUACGAGAGGACCGGAGUGGACGCAUCACUGGUGUUCGGGUUGUCAUGCCAAUGGCACUGCCCGGUAGCUAAAUGCGGAAGAGAUAAGUGCUGAAAGCAUCUAAGCACGAAACUUGCCCCGAGAUGAGUUCUCCCUGACCCUUUAAGGGUCCUGAAGGAACGUUGAAGACGACGACGUUGAUAGGCCGGGUGUGUAAGCGCAGCGAUGCGUUGAGCUAACCGGUACUAAUGAACCGUGAGGCUUAACCUU
rnacentral:rRNA from 1 species